GACCAUCUUCUCCUGGCAGAGCUCGAACCCUCUAUUGAAUGCAGCUUGGCCGAACUCAACCUUCAACUUCUUCAUUUCGGUGGAAGUCUUGAACUCCUCCACCGCUUGACCCCUGGCCUCCGAGACCAGGGUCGGGAUCUGUUCCACCAUGUUUGCAACCUCGGCCUCCGCCCUCCUCACCAUCUCCUCCAGGUCGGCCUUCUAUUUUGUCGAGGUCUAUCUCUCUCUCUCAAGCACCUCCCAGAGACCAGCCACCUCGAGGGCCAUUUCCUUAAGGUGGGCAGCCUCGGCCUGCUGACCUUCCACCGCCUUGUUUGUCGUCUCGAUGUUGGCGAGGAGUUGAUGCCCGAGCUGCAAGGGCAGCAGGGGAGUCAGAAUGGGGGCUGGAAAGUUAAAUAAAUGAAGAAGCGAAAGGAAAAAGGAGGACGAAUCUGCUUACCUCGAGGAAGGCCCCCAGCGAGUCCCAGACUCGUUGUGUAGGAUCGACGCGGACGAUCCUCUGGAUGACUUCGG
rnacentral:lncRNA from 1 species